rnacentral:sRNA from 1 species
GCUAAAGAUAUUUAAGUGUUCGAGAGAUAACGUAGUGGUAGCGUGUUCGCUUUGGGAGUGAAAAGUCGUAGGUUCGAAUCCUACUCUCUUGAUUUUAUUAUUGAAAUACCCUGUUAGGUUUAUCUUUUAUAUAAUGUUUAGUGCGGUGUGAAUGCCUUGGAGGAAAAAUAUAGGCGUAAAUAAUUACGAGAGUGUUGGUCGAGAUAUACUGUGACACCAACUUCCCUAAUAUAGGAAACUAAAGCUGUAAAGCUUACUGUAAACGCAGUAAUAUGGGGAAGUGAAACAUCUUAGUACCCAGUUUGUUAAAUCAACCGAGAAGCCAUAAGUAGUGGUGAGCGAAAGUGGUGUUUGGCUAAAUUAAAAAUUUAAAAACAAAAAAUUAUUUUUACCUUAGAAGGUUAUAGUCCUGUAGUUUUUAAUUUUUUUUUUAAUAGUAGAACAAGGCAAGUUUACCUUGUUCGAGUUUUGGGGGACCACCCUCAAAGCCUAAGGUUAUUUUUCUUUCCGAUAGUGAACAAGUACCGUGAGGGAAAGGUGAAAAAGAAGUCGCGACAGUUAAUAGAUCCUGAAACUCCGCAUUUGAGUCGGCGCUUUUAAAAGCAACGGCAUACCUUUUGUAUAAUGGGCAAGUGAAUCUUAAUAAAAGGCAAGCUUAAGUGUAUCAAAGUCUAGGCGAAGAUAACUCGAGUCUUAAAUGGCGACUCAUAGUCUUUUGUUAAGGACCCGAAACCGGUUGAUCUAAACUUGAGCAGGCUGAUAUUGUAGUGGUAACAUUUUUUGGAGGGCCGAACCCGUGUAUGUGGCAAAAUACUGGGAUGACUUGAGUUUAGGGGUGAAAGGCCAAUCAAAGCCGGUGAUAGCUGGAUUUCUGCGAAAUCUAUUUAAGUAGAGCGUUCUAUUAGAGUAGUCCGGGGUAGAGCACUGUGUAAGUGAGGGGGGCAUUUGCUUUACCGAGCUUUGGCAAACUUCGAAUACGGACUUUAUUUUUAGGGCAGACAGAAUAUGUGUGCUAAGAUUCAUGUUCAAAAGGGAAACAGCCCAGAUUGCUAGUUAAGGUCCAUGAUAUAGCUUCAGUGAUAAAGGUUAUUUAUGUUCAGAGACCGUCAGAAGGUAGGCUUGGAAGCAGCCAUUCUUUUAAGACAGCGUAACAGCUCACUGACCUAGAAUAUAAAUUCCGCGAAUUUUGAGGGCUUAAAGUUAUUACCGAAACUUCAAACAAAAUAAUUUUAAUAGAUUUUUUUGUGGUAGCAGAACAUUCCGUAGGUUGUAAAAGCUAUAGUGUAAACUAUUGUGAAGAUAUCGGAAAUGAGAAUACUUGCAUGAGUAGCACGAAACAAUGAUAAACAUUGUGGCUGUAAGUCUAAGGUUUCCGAUCUAAAGUAAAACUUGGUCGGCAGAAGUGUGUACUUCUAGAAAAAACGGUCCCUAAGCUGGCAGGCCAAGGCUUGUGGUAAUGGGUAAGAUUAUGCUGUAAUAAGUAACUGACGAAAAAUUCACUUUAUUUUUAAUAAAUUUAAAGGUAAAUUAUUUUUUCCAAGAAAAAGGCUCUUUUUUAAACCGUACCUUAAACCGUCACAGGUAGAUGGGUUGAGAACACUAAAGCCUUGAGAUAACCCCGUUGAAGGAACUCGGCAAAAUGACUCUGUAACUUCGGAAUAAGGAGUAAAAAGUGGUGCGAAAGCUUUACUUUUUGGCACAAAAUUGGGGGUAGCGACUGUUUAUUAAAAACACAGGUCUCUGCUAACUCGUAAGAGGUUGUAUAGGGACUGACACCUGCCCGGUGCCGGUAGGUAAAGACCCAGUGUUUACGCAUUGGUAUCAAACCCCGGUAAACGGCGGCUGUAACUAUGACGGUCCUAAGGUAGCGAAAUUCCUUGUCGGGUAAGUUCCGACCCGCACGAAAGGCGUAACGAUUUGGACACUGUCUCAGAGAGAGACUCGGUGAAAUAGACUUGUCUGUGAAGAUGCGGACUACCUGCACCUGGACAGAAAGACCCUAUGAAGCUUUACUGUAACUUGAAAUUGGUUUCGGGUUUUAUUUGCGCAGCAUAGGUGGGAGGCUGGGACAUUAAUCUUACGGGAUUAAUCGAGCCGUCAGUGAGAUACCACUCUUAUAAAACUAGAACUCUAACCUUGUAUCGUUAGCCGAUCAGGGAACAGUUUCAGGCGGGCAGUUUGACUGGGGCGGUCGCCUCCUAAAAGGUAACGGAGGCGUACAAAGGUUUCCUCAGAUCGGUCAGAAAUCGAUCGAAGAGUGUAAAGGCAAAAGGAAGCUUGACUGUGAGACUUACAAGUCGAACAGAGACGAAAGUCGGUCUUAGUGAUCUGGCGAUAUUGAGUGGAAAAGUCGUCACUCAACGGAUAAAAGUUACUCUAGGGAUAACAGGCUGAUCUCCCCCNAGUUCACAUCGACGGGGAGGUUUGGCACCUCGAUGUCGGCUCAUCGCAUCCUGGGGCGGUAGUACGUCCCAAGGGUUGGGCUGUUCGCCCAUGAAAGCGGUACGUGAGCUGGGUUCAGAACGUCGUGAGACAGUUCGGUCCAUAUCCGGUGUAGGCGUUAGAGUAUUGAGAGGAUUCUUCUUUAGUACGAGAGGACCGAGAAGAACAUGCCGCUGGUGUACCAGUUAUCAUACCAAUGGUAAACGCUGGGUAGCCACGCAUGGAAAGGAUAACCGCUGAAAGCAUCUAAGUGGGAAGCCCACCUCAAGAUGAGUACUCUCAUUGUGAAAACAAGUAAGAUCACGGCAAGACUAGCCGUUUGAAUAGGCAUCAAGUAGAAGUGUAGUAAUAUAUUAAGCUGAGAUGUACUAAUAGAUCGAGGACUUGAACUA